UCUUUCACAGGAAAACGAGCUGGUACUCUGACAGAAAGCUGUGGAACAUCCUUACUAUGUCUCUGAUCUGAUCAUCUAGGUGACCAGGUCUUGUAAAACACCAGAAUUUUUCUAUAACAGAGGGCUGAGAAGCAAUGUUAUUUAAUUGGACAUAGUUCCUGCUGCAUUAGAGCUCUGUGCCAAACAGGAAAGAGAGGCUUCACUUCCCUGAUGCAGAGAAAUUUUCUGGGAGGAGUUUCCAUUACAGCUACUACAUUUUUGGAGUCUCUGUGAAUCUGUCUCCACCAAAGAGUAAAGGAUUUCUCCUGCUGCUCUUUCUUCCUGGACCUGUUUCUCAUCAUUUUUACUGCUAAGUAUGUUAUAGUAGAAAAAGCAAAGCAGCCAGCAAAAACUGACCAAGAAGGAAAGUUAAAAAUUUCUGAAGUCUGCAUGGGCAAAGACACAAAUCCAAUGCCUCUCCUAUCUGUCAAGAAUUUGGUGUAUUUAUUGUGGCUUCUUUCUAAGCAUUCUACCAAAUGUGGAAUUCGUGGCAGCCCUGAGACAACAGGCUCAGGACGUGCUGAUGAUCCGUGAUAUUCUCUGGGAAUGGGAUUUUACCUGCUGCUGGAAGCAGCCAUCAGUUUGUACAUCACACACCAGUGACACAGAAUGGGACCACAUCGUGCCCAAAGAUGUUCAGCUUUGCACAAUGACACAAAGUCACUGAACCUCACUGGGCAUGUUUAGGAUGGUUAUAAGAGAAAAAUCUGUAAUGAGCUUCCUUGGGGAUAAUUGUAUCUAACUUGGAUAAAGCAGGCUUUUGACAGAUCACUUUUUCUUUGCUAAGGAUUUCUGUAUCUAGAUGACAGAUCAGUCUUCAAAUCACUAAAUUGCAGCCACACUUUAAUCAGCCAUAUCCUCGAUGAGACAAGUAUCCAGGCAACCCUGCAUAAAAGCAGAAGCAGAAGAAAUUGCUCAGUGCUGCAGUCAGACAGAGGAGAC
rnacentral:lncRNA from 1 species